rnacentral:rRNA from 1 species
GAUGAACGCUAGCGACAGGCCUAACACAUGCAAGUCGAGGGGCAGCACAUGAGUAGCAAUACGAUGGUGGCGACCGGCGCACGGGUGAGUAACACGUAUGCAACCUACCUGUAAAUGGGGAAUAACCCGGAGAAAUUCGGACUAACACCGCAUAACACUGUUUAUUCGCAUGAAUGAGCAGUUAAAUAUUUAUAGUUUACAGAUGGGCAUGCGUAUGAUUAGAUAGUUGGUAGGGUAACGGCCUACCAAGUCUACGAUCAUUAGGGGUUCUGAGAGGAAGGUCCCCCA